CAUAAGUUAAGAAACAUUUAUGGAUCACACAAGAGAGAUAAUUUAGCCCUUAGGUUGAUAUUUUAGGUAUUAUUUUAGAUGAAUGUAUACUAAAGAAGAAUCCUUCAAUUUGAUUUUGAUAGAUGUUAUUAAUAAAAAGUAUCGAUCUUCUUUACUAAAUUUACAAGUUUCUUUAUUGGCUUCUAUGUGAAUUCACUAAUUUUAUAUUUGCACUAAUGAAUAAGACAUUCCAACCAAUUUUGGCACUACCUUAAGUCUAAGAUUUCUUUGAUUUUAUAUUCUUCGUUAUUAUCCACUUCUUUUAAAGGAGGUGGCAUUUAUUGUCUUACUAAUAUAUCUAUUAACUUCUAUGACUUAAGAAGAAACACAUGAAAUAUAGAAUAGAUUUUUAUAGACUCCAAU
rnacentral:lncRNA from 1 species